ACGCGCGGAACCUUACCAGGUCUUGACAUCCUCUGACACUCCUAGAGAUAGGACGUUCCCCUUCGGGGGACAGAGUGACAGGUGGUGCAUGGUUGUCGUCAGCUCGUGUCGUGAGAUGUUGGGUUAAGUCCCGCAACGAGCGCAACCCUUGAUCUUAGUUGCCAGCAUUAAGUUGGGCACUCUAAGGUGACUGCCGGUGACAAACCGGAGGAAGGUGGGGAUGACGUCAAAUCAUCAUGCCCCUUAUGACCUGGGCUACACACGUGCUACAAUGGAUGGUACAAAGGGCAGCAAAGCGGUGACGCCUAGCAAAUCCCAUAAAACCAUUCUCAGUUCGGAUUGUAGGCUGCAACUCGCCUACAUGAAGCUGGAAUCGCUAGUAAUCGCGGAUCAGCAUGCCGCGGUGAAUACGUUCCCGGGCCUUGCACACACCGCCCGU
rnacentral:rRNA from 1 species